rnacentral:rRNA from 1 species
UACGUAGGGACCAAGCGUUGUUCGGAUUUACUGGGCGUAAAGGGCGCGUAGGCGGCAUGGCAAGUCACUUAUGAAAUCUCCGGGCUUAACUCGGAACGGCCAAGUGAAACUGCCACGCUAGAGUGCAGAAGGGGCAAUCGGAAUUCUUGGUGUAGCGGUGAAAUGCGUAGAUAUCAAGAGGAACACCUGAGGUGAAGACGGGUUGCUGGGCUGACACUGACGCUGAGGCGCGAAAGCCAGGGGAGCAAACGGG